rnacentral:rRNA from 1 species
CACUCCUGCGGGAGGCAGCAGUGGGGAAUAUUGGACAAUGGGCGCAAGCCUGAUCCAGCCAUGCCGCGUGAGUGAUGAAGGCCCUAGGGUUGUAAAGCUCUUUCACCGGUGAAGAUAAUGACGGUAACCGGAGAAGAAGCCCCGGCUAACUUCGUGCCAGCAGCCGCGGUAAUACGAAGGGGGCUAGCGUUGUUCGGAUUUACUGGGCGUAAAGCGCACGUAGGCGGACUAUUAAGUCAGGGGUGAAAUCCCGGGGCUCAACCCCGGAACUGCCUUUGAUACUGGUAGUCUUGAGUUCGAGAGAGGUGAGUGGAAUUCCGAGUGGAGAGGUGAAAUUCGUAGAUAUUCGGAGGAACACCAGUGGCGAAGGCGGCUCACUGGCUCGAUACUGACGCUGAGGUGCGAAAGCGUGGGGAGCAAACAGGAUUAGAAACCCGAGUAGUCCCAUGA